rnacentral:sRNA from 1 species
CUUGGGUGCUUUGGCCCUGUGUGUCUUAUCUUUGUUAUAACAAAGAGCUUUCUUAUAACAUAUUGGUGGACAUCAUCUUUUUAGAGAAAUUGAAGUUUUUGGAUUCUGCUAGCUCUUUUGGGUCCCGGGGGAUGAGGCAGUAUAUUAUCAGGCAGUUCAGGAUUAGCCUUCUCUCUCUAACAAUAACUGAGUUGAGAAUACUCAGAUUGGCAUCCACAAUACAACCUUGAACAGAUUUGUGCAUUCUUUCUUCAGUUCUCCUUGGAGGAGAGGAAUACCCCUUACUCAGUAGCAGGCAGACACAGUCUUGGGUCAAAAUACCCUGCUUCAUGAGGAAGCCUCGUCUGUUGUCCCCACCACUGAUUCCGACCACAUAACCCUUCUAUUCUUCACCUAGAGCAUCAGCAUCAACAUCUGUGACUAUAGCUUCUCAGAAAAAGUAUGACAUUUGCAAUCCUCAUCCACUUCAAAGAGAUUCUGGCAGCCAGAGGCUGGGAAGGAGACAUUCAGCUUCAUGUUGAAGCAGCUGAUUGUCUCUGAGGCACCAUGAAAAGGAGAGGUUUUUAUAAGUGUUGUUUAUCAAGAGAAACUAUUUCUUAGCCCACAUAUUCCCAUUUCUUAGUUCACGAACACAGGUCAGUGACAAGCACCUGAGGUUUCUUCAAAGCACUGGAAGCCAUUGUUUAUGAGUCAUGGUUAUUGUCUUUGAUGGGUAUGUCCUUCCUGGCUGUUGAAAGUUCCUAGUUUACGUGAAGGUUCACUCUCAGUGUUAGAAUAAUUUUGGCCUCAUAGAAUGAGUUAGGAAGUAUC